rnacentral:rRNA from 1 species
CUUCCCCUUUCCCCUAGUAACGGGCGAGUGAAGCGGCAACAGCUCAGAUUUGAAAUCUGGCCCCUUCGGGGUCCGAGUUGUAAUCUGUAGAGGAUGCUUUUGGCGACGCGCCUUCCGAGUCCCCUGGAACGGGGCGCCAGAGAGGGUGAGAGCCCCGUAUGGUUGGACGCCGAACCUCUGUAAAGCUCCUUCGACGAGUCGAGUAGUUUGGGAAUGCUGCUCAAAAUGGGAGGUAAAUUUCUUCUAAAGCUAAAUACCGGCCAGAGACCGAUAGCGCACAAGUAGAGUGAUCGAAAGAUGAAAAGCACUUUGAAAAGAGGGUCAAAUAGCACGUGAAAUUGCUGAAAGGGAAGCGCUUGUGACCAGACUUGCGCCCGGUUGAUCAUCCAGCGUUCUCGCUGGUGCACUCUGCCGGGCUCAGGCCAGCAUCGGCUCUCCCAGGGGGAUAAAGGUCGCGGGAACGUAGCUCUCUCCGGGGAGUGUUAUAGCCCGUGGCGGAAUGCCCUUAGGGGGGGCCGAGGCCCGCGUUCGCAAGGAUGCUGGCGUAAUGGUCACCAGCGACCCGUCUUGAAACCGGCCCCAAGGGAGUAAAAUUGCCUAAU